ACGCUCGACACCUACGGGGGGCAGCAGUAGGGAAUCUUCCACAAUGGACGCAAGUCUGAUGGAGCAACGCCGCGUGAGUGAAGAAGGUCUUCGGAUCGUAAAACUCUGUUGUUAGAGAAGAACACGAGUGAGAGUAACUGUUCAUUCGAUGACGGUAUCUAACCAGCAAGUCACGGCUAACUACGUGCCAGCAGCUGCGGUAAUCUGAGCGGGCUGGCAAGGC
rnacentral:rRNA from 1 species